CGAUCCUUGUGUAAGCAAUAGUGCAGUCGUGCGGAAGAUGGGAGCUUGCUCCCUGAUGUUAGGGGGAGGGUGAGUAACACGUGGGUAACCUGCCUGUAAGACUGGGAUAACUCCGGGAAACCGGGGCUAAUACCGGAUGGUUGUUUGAACCGCAUGGUUCAAACAUAAAAGGUGGCUUCGGCUACCACUUACAGAUGGACCCGCGGCGCAUUAGCUAGUUGGUGAGGUAACGGCUCACCAAGGCAACGAUGCGUAGCCGACCUGAGAGGGUGAUCGGCCACACUGGGACUGAGACACGGCCCACACUCCUACGGGAGGCAGCAGUAGGGAAUCUUCCGCAAUGGACGAAAGUCUGACGGAGCACCGCCGCGUGAGUGAUGAAGGUUUUCGGAUCGUUAUGUUCUGUUGUUAGGGAAGAACAAGUACCGUUCGAAUAGGGCGGUACCUUGACGGUACCUAACCAGAAAGCCACGGCUAACUACGUGCCAGCAGCCGGGGUAAUACGUAGGUGGCAAGUGUUGUCCGGAAUUAUUGGGCGUAAAGUGCUCGCAGGCGGUUUCUUAAGUCUGAUGUGAAAGCCCCCCGGCUCAACCGGGGAGGGUCAUUGGAUACUGGGGAACUUGAGUGCAGAAGAGGAGAGUGCAAUUCCACGUGUAGCGAUGAUAUGCGUAGAGAUGUGGAAACAACGCCAGUGGAGAACGGCUACUCUCUGGCUGUAACUGACGCUGGAGGAGCGAACGCGUGAGGAGCGAACAUUAUUAGAUGCCGGUGGCUACUCCACGCCGUAAACGAUGAGUGCUAAGUGUUGAGGGGGUCUCCCCCUCUUUAGUGCUGCAAGCUAACGCAUUUAUAGCAACUCCAGCCUGGCGAGUUACGGUCGCAAGGACUUGCACACUCAAAAGUUAUUGGACCGGGGCCCGCAACAGCUGAUGGAGCAUGAUGUCUGAAAUACCGAGUCGAACGCGAACGAUCUACCAGGCCUGGACAUCAGUCUGGACAGUCGUU
rnacentral:rRNA from 1 species